rnacentral:misc_RNA from 1 species
GAAAUUCGAUAAGUAGUGUGAAUUGCAGAAUUCAGUGAAUCAUCGAAUCUUUGAACGCACAUUGCGCCCCUUGGUAUUCCAUGGGGCAUGCCUGUUCGAGCGUCAUUUGUACCCUCAAGCUCUGCUUGGUGUUGGGUGUUUGUCCCCGUCUCCGCGCGUGGACUCGCCCCAAAGUGAUUGGCAGCCGGCGUACUGGUCCCGGAGCGCAGCACAUGUCGCGCAAACGAGUGCCUUGGUACGGCGGCGUCCAUAAGCCCCUCUCUCACGCUCUUGACCUCGGAUCAGGUAGGGAUACCCGCUGAACUUAAGC